UCAAUUGAGACUUGAGUAACCAAGGGAAACCGAUAAGCAUUCCACCUGGGGAGUACGGUCGCAAGACUGAAACUCAAAGGAAUUGACGGGGGCCCGCACAAGCGGAGGAACAUGUGGUUUAAUUCGAUGAUACGCGAGGAACCUUACCCGGGCUUGAAAGUUAGUGACCGUUUUAGAGAUAGAAUUUCGCAGCAAUGCGCACGAAACUAGGUGCUGCAUGGUUGUCGUCAGCUCGUGCCGUGAGGUGUCGGCUUAAGUGCCACAACGAGCGCAACCCUUACCGUCGGUUGCCAGCGGGUAAUGCCGGGGACUUCGAUGGGACUGCCACCGUAAGGUGUGAGGAAGGUGGGGAUGACGUCAAAUCAGCACGGCCCUUACGUCCGGGGCGACACACGUGUUACAAUGGUCGGUACAGAGGGCUGCUACUAGGCGACUAGAUGCUAAUCUCGAAAGCCGAUCUCAGUUCGGAUCGGAGUCUGCAACUCGACUCCGUGAAGUUGGAUUCGCUAGUAAUCGCAUAUCAGCCAUGAUGCGGUGAAUACGUUCCCGGGCCUUGUACACACCGCCCGU
rnacentral:rRNA from 1 species